ACUGCCUGAUGGAGGGGGAUAACUACUGGAAACGGUAGCUAAUACCGCAUAACGUCGCAAGACCAAAGAGGGGGACCUUCGGGCCUCUUGCCAUCGGAUGUGCCCAGAUGGGAUUAGCUUGUUGGUGGGGUAACGGCUCACCAAGGCGACGAUCCCUAGCUGGUCUGAGAGGAUGACCAGCCACACUGGAACUGAGACACGGUCCAGACUCCUACGGGAGGCAGCAGUGGGGAAUAUUGCACAAUGGGCGCAAGCCUGAUGCAGCCAUGCCGCGUGUAUGAAGAAGGCCUUCGGGUUGUAAAGUACUUUCAGCGGGGAGGAAGGGAGUAAAGUUAAUACCUUUGCUCAUUGACGUUACCCGCAGAAGAAGCACCGGCUAACUCCGUGCCAGCAGCCGCGGUAAUACGGAGGGUGCAAGCGUUAAUCGGAAUUACUGGGCGUAAAGCGCACGCAGGCGGUUUGUUAAGUCAGAUGUGAAAUCCCCGGGCU
rnacentral:rRNA from 1 species